rnacentral:rRNA from 1 species
CCUACGGGGUGCUGCAGUGAGGAAUAUUGGUCAAUGGACGAGAGUCUGAACCAGCCAAGUAGCGUGAAGGAUGACUGCCCUAUGGGUUGUAAACUUCUUUUAUAUGGGAAUAAAACGUUCCACGUGUGGGAUUUUGUAUGUACCAUAUGAAUAAGGAUCGGCUAACUCCGUGCCAGCAGCCGCGGUAAUACGGAGGGUCCGAGCGUUAUCCGGAUUUAUUGGGUUUAAAGGGAGCGUAGGUGGAUUGUUAAGUCAGUUGUGAAAGUUUGCGGCUCAACCGUAAAAUUGCAGUUGAAACUGGCAGUCUUGAGUACAGUAGAGGUGGGCGGAAUUCGUGGUGUAGCGGUGAAAUGCUUAGAUAUCACGAAGAACUCCGAUUGCGAAGGCAGUUCACUGGACUGCAACUGACACUGAGGCUCGAAAGUGUGGGUAUCAAACAGGAUUAGAUACCCCUGUAGUC